UAAUAUCGAAGUGAAUGGCUAGCGCUCGUUGUCAUGCUUCCUCCUGCAACCUUGAGCCCUGAAGCACCACCCUUUCCCGCUGCUCUGCCUUGCGGCAAUCAUUUCAGCCAGUCUUGAGCUGGUCUUGCAAAAAGCCACGACCAAGACCAGCUCCUCCCCCAAAGCCUCUGCAUGCUGAGUGGAAACAUUUCACUCUUGUGUCUUUGGAUGCUUGGCGCUACUUCAUUAGGCUGGUUAUUUUUAUGCUCCCAGAAAGAACAAAAUGUGAAGAGAGAGAGAGAUCAUUAGCUGCCGAUGGAACAGCUGCGGACGACAGCCGAGGCAGGCCCUCCUUUCGGCACUCUGCUGCCUCGUAUUAAGAGGAGAGUCCUCUGUUGGAAGAGCUGCCCAAUCCAAGGAUGGAGAACGGGAGGGGGGCACAGAGAGGAGACUUGAAGUUGCCCAUCAAUAGUUCGCAGUAUAUGAAGAACAGAGCGAGCAGGCACACAGGGCCCUUGUCAUUCUUCCCCACUAUGGCGUUUUUAUUUGAAUUACACCCAUUGUUUCCAAAUUCAUAUCUAUAUCGUAAAAUUAGUAAAUGCAAACUUAAUGCAAA